AUGAGGGUCAGAGAGUUGAUAAUAAUAUCAAGGUAUGUCACAAAAUUUCUAACUGUCUUCAUGUCAGAAUGUAUGCUAACCAUUUUUCAUUUUAACGUGCGAACUAGAAAACCUCGAAGAAUGUUGCUGCUAGUACAAAUGAAGUGCCAAAGUGUGUCUACAGCAACCCCAGCAAGAACCUUGCUGGGGAAUUUGAGGUAUGAAUUCCAUCUUGGUACAAUGUUUUUUUGUCAACCAUACUUAGUGCUAACUUGUCCAUCUGUACAGAAGGUAAAAAAAACACCUGUGGACCCCCACAAAGGAAAAACAGACAGAGAUGACGCUGUGGACUCAUUUGGUAAGCGUUUUAGGAGUGACAGCAAGAACUUACCCUCCCAAUCUGAGAAGGUGAAGAAAACAUAUGUACACCCCCAGAAGUUAAAGACUGAAAGAGACGAUAGCAAGAACUUACCCUCCGAAUAUGAGAAGGUCAAGCAUACGUCCAUGGAUGCCAUGGACUCCAUAGGGAGGCGUGUCAGACAUGACAGCCGGAAGAAAAAGAAGUCUUCACUCCUUCAGAGCGAGGAAUACGAAUUUUACACCCCCGCGCUCAGAAGGAAAAGAGCUCUAUCUCAACAGACACAUGACAGUAACGAUAUUAUGUACACACAGAAUAAGAAGAUGAAUCCCGGGAAAAGCAGCGCCCAGCAGCUAAAACAGCUCAAGGAGGACUUGAUCAAUUUUCAGGCAGAAACAGAUCGAGUUACACAGAAUAUAGUAGUUGACUAUGUAAACACUACUCCUGAGACCGCCAAGUUGGUGAAGAUCAAGGACAUACUUCUAACGCAGAAGUAUCUUAAAUGCCUGACAACACCAGAUCAUUCCUCCUUUGCAGCUUGGGUGGAUGACGAUGUACUCGAUGCGGCGUUUGAACUCCUACGCCUGGACGGACUAGAAGGUGUACGAGACCAUGGUACCGUGUAUGUCGAAAGGUCGACCAUUGUCAACAUCCUAAAGAGAGAUGGCACAGUCCCGAAUUGUACCUUGGAUGUUUUAAGCGGCAAAUCAGGCACUAAAUGUGGAGAUAACUACCUGAAGCAUGACAUGAUUUUCCUACCUUCAAAUAUUCCCAACCACCACUGGUUCCUGGCUGUUGUCAACUCCCAAAAGAGGGAGAUUCAAAUUCUGGACUCACUCCAAUCACGCAACAACCGCAAAGAAGUAAUUGCUGCGCUUCUUGGAAUGGAAACACAUAUUGAUAUAGCAGUGAUGGAAAAUAGAAUGCCAGGAAGUAGAUGGUCGGACACUCAAGUGGCUUCGUGGCCUAUCACAGACUAUGAAGUGCCACAGCAAAAAGAUGGGUGUUGA
rnacentral:rRNA from 1 species